GAUAUCCUCCUCGCUGAUGUAUCGAGGAGCCGUGACCCGGCCUCACAGGAAGGGCCAGGGCGAAGACGUAUCCCCGACGGCCAAGACACGGCCACGGUGGUGAUUUUUGAUGGUGAGACAGAGCAGACUCGAGCGACUUUGCCCAGCCAGGAGCACAUAAAAGAUAAUCAGCGUUUAUUCGCUAGCUGGAAUUAAAGGCAACGGCGAGAGAGCAAGAUCAAGGACAACUUCAAAAUUUAAGAAUAUAUGCAAGGUACGUGCCGUAUGACCGUCAUAUGUUUAUUGACUAUUCUCUAGCUG
rnacentral:rRNA from 1 species